rnacentral:rRNA from 1 species
AUUGAACGCUGGCGGCAGGCCUAACACAUGCAAGUCGAGCGCGAAAAUUCCUUCGGGAAUGAGUAGAGCGGCGGACGGGUGAGUAACGCGUAGGAAUCUGCCCGGUAGUGGGGGACAACAGUCGGAAACGACUGCUAAUACCGCAUACGCCCUAAGGGGGAAAGCAGGGGAUCUUCGGACCUUGCGCUAUCGGAUGAGCCUGCGUCGGAUUAGCUUGUUGGUGGGGUAAUGGCCUACCAAGGCGACGAUCCGUAGCUGGUCUGAGAGGAUGAUCAGCCACACUGGGACUGAGACACGGCCCAGACUCCUACGGGAGGCAGCAGUGGGGAAUAUUGGACAAUGGGGGAAACCCUGAUCCAGCCAUGCCGCGUGUGUGAAGAAGGCCUCGGUU